UACGUAGGGGGCGAGCGUUGUCCGGAGUUACUGGGCGUAAAGGGCAUGCAGGCGGUCGGACGCGUUUUGUGUGACAGCGGGUGGCUCAACUACCCGAGCAUGCGAAAGACGGUCGGACUUGAGGACUCGAGAGGGACACGGAAUUCCGGGUGGAGUGGUGAGAUGCGUAGAGAUCCGGAGGAACACCGAAGGCGAAGGCAGUGUCCUGGCGAGUGACUGACGCUGAGGUGCGAAAGCCAGGGGAGCGAACGGG
rnacentral:rRNA from 1 species